GACGAACGCUGGCGGCGUGCCUAAUACAUGCAAGUAGAACGCUGAAGAGAGGAGCUUGCUCUUCUUGGAUGAGUUGCGAACGGGUGAGUAACGCGUAGGUAACCUGCCUUGUAGCGGGGGAUAACUAUUGGAAACGAUAGCUAAUACCGCAUAACAAUGGAUGACCCAUGUCAUUUAUUUGAAAGGGGCAAAUGCUCCACUACAAGAUGGACCUGCGUUGUAUUAGCUAGUAGGUGAGGUAACGGCUCACCUAGGCGACGAUACAUAGCCGACCUGAGAGGGUGAUCGGCCACACUGGGACUGAGACACGGCCCAGACUCCUACGGGAGGCAGCAGUAGGGAAUCUUCGGCAAUGGGGGCAACCCUGACCGAGCAACGCCGCGUGAGUGAAGAAGGUUUUCGGAUCGUAAAGCUCUGUUGUAAGUCAAGAACGAGUGUGAGAGUGGAAAGUUCACACUGUGACGGUAGCUUACCAGAAAGGGACGGCUAACUACGUGCCAGCAGCCGCGGUAAUACGUAGGUCCCGAGCGUUGUCCGGAUUUAUUGGGCGUAAAGCGAGCGCAGGCGGUUUGAUAAGUCUGAAGUUAAAGGCUGUGGCUCAACCAUAGUUCGCUUUGGAAACUGUCAAACUUGAGUGCAGAAGGGGAGAGUGGAAUUCCAUGUGUAGCGGUGAAAUGCGUAGAUAUAUGGAGGAACACCGGUGGCGAAAGCGGCUCUCUGGUCUGUAACUGACGCUGAGGCUCGAAAGCGUGGGGAGCGAACAGGAUUAGAUACCCUGGUAGUCCACGCCGUAAACGAUGAGUGCUAGGUGUUGGAUCCUUUCCGGGAUUCAGUGCCGCAGCUAACGCAUUAAGCACUCCGCCUGGGGAGUACGACCGCAAGGUUGAAACUCAAAGGAAUUGACGGGGGCCCGCACAAGCGGUGGAGCAUGUGGUUUAAUUCGAAGCAACGCGAAGAACCUUACCAGGUCUUGACAUCCCGAUGCUAUUUCUAGAGAUAGAAAGUUACUUCGGUACAUCGGUGACAGGUGGUGCAUGGUUGUCGUCAGCUCGUGUCGUGAGAUGUUGGGUUAAGUCCCGCAACGAGCGCAACCCCUAUUGUUAGUUGCCAUCAUUCAGUUGGGCACUCUAGCGAGACUGCCGGUAAUAAACCGGAGGAAGGUGGGGAUGACGUCAAAUCAUCAUGCCCCUUAUGACCUGGGCUACACACGUGCUACAAUGGUUGGUACAACGAGUUGCGAGUCGGUGACGGCAAGCUAAUCUCUUAAAGCCAAUCUCAGUUCGGGUUGUAGGCUGCAACUCGCCUACAUGAAGUCGGAAUCGCUAGUAAUCGCGGAUCAGCACGCCGCGGUGAAUACGUUCCCGGGCCU
rnacentral:rRNA from 1 species